rnacentral:rRNA from 1 species
UACGUAGGGGGCAAGCGUUGUCCGGAAUUAUUGGGCGUAAAGAGCUCGUAGGCGGUUUGUUGCGUCGGCUGUGAAAUCCCGAGGCUCAACCUCGGGUCUGCAGUCGAUACGAGCAAACUAGAGUGUUGCAGGGGAGACUGGAAUUCCUGGUGUAGCGGUGAAAUGCGCAGAUAUCAGGAAGAACACCUAUGGCGAAGGCAGCUCUCUGGGACGGUACUGACGCUGAGACGCGAAAGCGUGGGGAGCGAACAGG